rnacentral:rRNA from 1 species
UACGUAGGAGGCAAGCGUUGUCCGGAGUUACUGGGCGUAAAGCGCACGCAGGCGGUUCAGUCAGUCUGUAGGGACAGGGCACAGCUCAACUGUGUCAGGCUUACGGAAACUGCUGAACUUGAGGGCUUCAGAGGGAUGGGGAAUUCCGGGUGGAGUGGUGAAAUGCGUAGAGAUCGGAAGAACACCAAAGGCGAAGGCACCAUCCUGGGGAGUCACUGACGCUCGGGUGCGAAAGCUAGGGGAGCGAACGGG